GAAGGCACAGCUCAGUGGUAGAGCGAGUGCUUAGCACGCCUGAGGUCCUGGGUUCAGUUCCCAGUACCUCCA
rnacentral:tRNA from 1 species